GUACUAUAAGUUGUUGUUGUGUGCCACUUUAAUGACAUAGACAUUAAGAUGUGAAUAGACAUUUCCUUUAUCUGCAUUGUUGUCUUUAGUGUACUAUUUUUUCUGCUUGGGGGUUUGUCAUGUUCAGAUAUAAGUUAUUGCAUUUGCUGCUGCUGUUUGCCAGGCAUAGUACUAGAGAGUUUCAUCUUGUAUUACUCUAUUAAGCCAGUUUUACUACUGAUUUUUUUCCUUGUUUGCUGCACAUUGCCUUAUAUUAGUUGUAAUAUUGUAUUUGCUUUGCUAAUUUAGAUAUACUGCUGCUUGCUUUGCCAAUUUGCAUUUUUUGUCAUUGCUGUUUGUGUUAAUUGUUUUGUGCUGCUGCAUUGCCUCAUCCCUUCAUUUAUGCAUCUGAGCUCAGUAGAUUUAAGUUAGCUUAAGAGGGGGUAGGCUAUAUAAGAGAAUGAGUUGCAAUGAAUUGGAAGAAAUGCAUUGAGAACUUAUACAAAAAAAGUUUGUAAACAAAGGUACUGUACAAUGAAGAAUAAUUAUUUUGAAAGAGGAUAUGAAUAGAAUACAGAAAGCAGGUAUAGAUAGGACUUUUUGGGAAUAAUGAUGAACAAAGGGAGAUCUCCAAGAAGUAAAGAAAGUUUUGUUUGCAAAAUACUGCAGUAAAACAAAGCCUGUCCUUUCCUUUUGUGUUAUUCCGCUAUGUGUUUGUGUACCGUUGUGUAUUUGUGUUCUUCCUGUAUUUAUGUGUUUAGCUAAUAAGAGUUAUGUUGUAGAAUUUUUCUAUUACUCGCUACAGUCACUAUUAUGAGGAAUACUGUUAUCCUCAAAUAUAAUUUGCAUUUAUAAUAUAUUAUUUACUUUGUAAAGAUAUUUAGACAUUAUUUUCGAAAGAUUUUCUAAUCUUUUACGUAUUUACUUAUGUCAUAAUUCCUGUAACACUGAUGUAUAUGUUUAUUUCUAUUCUUUUGUAAAGCCUGUACUACUAUAAAUGUUAUCUGUAUUGUUAUGUUCUUUGAUGAUGUAUUUUGUACCUUUGUAAUUGUAUCCUUAUGUUGUAAAUUUAUAGUUGUAUACACACCAGUUCUUCAAAUUAAGUUUCAUUUCACUGCACACAUUUCUGUUGGUCAUAGUAUAUGCACAAUAUGUGAAAAAAAGAGACUGUUACUGCUCACACGUGUGUUGAUAAUUCAGCAAGGGACUGGUUAACAGCAUUGCUGGUUCUAAGGACACCAAAAAGUUUGUGAGUGCACAAGUGGUGAUUUAUAGACUUGCUUUAUGGUCCGAUGGUGGCUGUGCACCUGCACAUUCGCAACAGAUGGCUACUGGCCGUCUCUACAAGGACUGCAGUGGGUCUGCAUCUCUGGUGGCCCACCAAUAUCAUAAUCUCUACCAGGAAUAUAGUUGGUCUGCUCUGCGAUGACAUACCUACCAAUAUUCUUCGAACCUUCGACUGACUCUGCUGUGGGUUUGCCCUGUUGUGGCCAAUUACCUGUCUGCAUGUCAACAGACAGUACUGUCUUUCCUUUGGAAGGACAACACUACUUCUUCAAGACUGCAUGGAAAUCCAUUACUUCCAUGUGCAUUUUCUUUUAAUACUCAGACUUUGAGAAAAAAAAUAAAACUGUAAUUACUAUUGUGAUGAAUGAUCAGGACUGUCUUUAUUAGAACAAUUUUUGCUUUUGACCAACAUUGCAUUAAUAAGUGUGUGCAUUUGAUAUUUUUUAUUGUAACUAUGUAAAAUUUUAUCAGAUCAUUAUUGCUCACUGCCCAAAACAAUUUGUAAAAUUUUUUGUGGGGAGCAUGGGGGCUAUGUAAGUAGGCUGUUUAGGUUUUUAUGUUGGUAACGCCACGUAGCGCUCUGUAUGAAAAUCACUCACUGUGCUUUGUGCAGUCUAUGGCUGGUUUGCAUUGUUGGAUUUUUUGCUAUUAUAGUGUUGGGCAGUUGGAUGUGAACAGAGUGUAGCGUUGCGCAGUUGGAGGUGAGCCGCCAGCAGUGGUGGAUGUGGGAAGAGAGAUAGCAGAGUUUUGAGAGCGAACGAUCUGGACAUGAGUCUGUCAGAAAAACGAAAUUUGUAAGACUGGAUGUCAUGAAAUGAUAUAUAUAUUAUGACUUUUGAACACUAUUCAGGUAAAUUCAUUGUUUGUUCUCUAUCAAAAUUUUUCAUUUGCUAACUAUACCUAUCAGUAGUUAGUGCCAUCAGUCGUUAGAAUCCUUUACUUAGCUGGCAGUAAUGUCUGAGUACAUUCAGUUUUGCUCAGCUGUUUGAAAAUCAAAUAACGUAAGAGAUUUAUCAGCACAGUAAUUCAUUAAUUUUUCAAAGAAGAAGUUUCAAGUUAUACACUAUAGACUCAAAGAAAAAUGUAUUCGCUUUCAUCUGCUUGCUCUUGAGAAGCCGAGGAUACUCCUGUGGUAAUGUCACAGAAUAGGAUUUUGAAAAAAUGGUGACACACAGCCGCAAUAUAUAAACGCUCCAUGUCCUUCCCUUCACGUUUGUUGCUGUCGACGUUAGGAGGGCCCUGCUGUUUGCUAUAAAAUUAUGUAAUGGGAUGGCUGGGGUUGUCCAUUAAGUCAUUUUUCUCAGAUUACAUAUCAAGUUAUAAGGAGAUUGUGUUUCAUGCUGUAACCAUCUCAUAGUCAGCCAGUUCAUGACGUAAUAAACAACCAUUUUUUUCUGUUCGUUACCGAAUUCUCCAAGUUCCCAGUGUGUAUGAAGUCUGAGAAUUUCAUUUCAAUGGUCUCAUAUCAUACUUUGCUGAUCUAACAGUAUUUUCCAUUGGCAUUCUUCACUAAACCAAAAUCAGAAGUGCUGGGUAAGUGAGAAUGUCUUGAAACCAAUAAUUUGUUAUCAGUGGCUGAGGCUUCACAUUCGGAUCUUGAUAUAACUUCAUGAAAGACAACUAAAUUUUAAUGUUCCUGUUUUUGCCGGUAAAAUAGUCUAAAUGUAAGAUUAUUUUAAUUUUUGUAGAGGUUAGAUACUCUUACAGAUCUCACACCAAUCCGUAAGAGAUAUAUGAAGCUAAUGUCCUUAGGAUUUCCGGGACCAACACUUUUCUGAGGCCUUAUAAUUGGACCUGAGUUAACAAGUUUGUAAGUUGGACCUUACAUGAGCUUGAUCCGUAACGACAGGACGAUACAGUGUCAGUUCCUCAGAAAAUAAUAAUUUUAUUAUAUCAUAAAAGGCAAUUGCAGUUAAUCUCAUCUACUGAAAACUAACAAAACCAUAUCUACCAUAUACGGACUGGCAUGAACAAACAAGUUAAAAUGAAACGCAUUUUGUAGACGAACUGAGCAGGUGGUUAAUGAUAUUAUAAAACUCCCCAUUAGCAAGAUAACAGCGAGCUUCAGCGCAGAAAGGGAUAACGCCAGAAGAAUACAUUAUUCCUUUUAAUGUAAAUAAGGCCGAGACCGAGGGUAAGUGGCUGCAUGUCAUUAACAGGGCUAGGCUGCGACCCAGCAAGAAAAAUAAAAAUGUAUUCACCUCUAGCGAGAUGGUGGUUGGCUGAAGACAUACUUGGCGAUGCAGGUGGGACACAAUGGGCAGAUCUCCGUUAUAUAAAAGCAUUUUGAGACCUUAAGGCUCUCUGUCUCUCUCUUUCAUCUCAUGGUACACCACACAAGUGUGUCGAAAUAAGCGAGGAUGUUGAGAUCUUUGCUUUCUGAGAAGUUAGUACGAUAUGCUUCAUGUAUUGUGGCAACAGAUAUCAAAGUGGUAGUAAUUAAUCCUGCGGAAUUACUGCAGGCAAAGAAAUUGUGCACAUCACUCCGACCCAUAGCGAGUAUGAAAUAGCCAUUAUUUUGACUAGGAAAAGAUUAGUGUUCUAUUGUAUGCAGGAUAGUUGCGACUGAGUGAAUUCAGUCAAGGCCAGAGUAGCGUAUUAGUGUUUCAGAUCCAUCAUGGAAACAACAGCGUUGCAGAUGCCACAGUACCAUUGUGCAUUAGACCACAGUAAAUGUUGAGUCUAGAUUUUGCUCACUCCAACUUGCAUACGCUUUGACCAUUGAAUAUCAAAAGCUAGGAUACUAACGUACCCUCACAUUGAGUAUAUAAGAAUUUUUUUCAUUGGUUAAAAAAGUAAAUUUAUUCUCCACCAACUCAGUGCAUGACCAGCUACAACAACGCAGAUGUAAAUGAGCUGAUGAGGAUUUUUAGUGAUCCUUCUUUCCUGUGAUAAAAAAUUUUCAUGUGCAGAGAUAACGAUUUUAUUAAUCGUCAUUUCAAUAUGUCAAAGAAUUAAAUGUUUUGUUAUUGAGUGUCAAAAGUAAUUGAACAUGAUUGUUGUUUAUCAAUUGCCCCUGAAAGCAACAGUUGAUAAAUAAUAUAUAGAAUAAAAAAAGAAGGGAAUAGCUGUGUGCCAUUUCUCUGGCGCGUUGCGUAUCCGGCACCAACGAUAGCGACUAGUAUUUCUGUUUCCGUCUGGUUCGGCCUGCGCAGGCGCUGAGGCAGCAGCUGCCCUCUGGAGUGUUUUUGAUUUUAGCCUCGUGUGUACUUAAUCCUAUUUAAAGUCUUGGGCAUUGGCAUUUGCUUGUUAUUUUACUCUUAUUUAUUUGUUGUGCCAGUUAGCUCUAAGAUGAUGUCAGACCUUGGUAUCUGUCUACCUUAUUUUGGCUACUAGCGCUCAGGUGCAAUAUUUCUGGGUCUAUCCCGGAUUUGUCAUUAAUUGAGAGCUUUUUUAUACUGUAUUUUUAGUAGUAGGUUUGGCAAGUGCACUUGCGUAUGGUAUUUAUUGUGUUUACCCCUCCCCCCCUUCUUACUCCUUCGUGUAAACUGAUUCUGGCAAGAUUGCUAUUACCUAUGUAAGUUUGCCUGCUGCUGUAGUCGUAACAUGUUUGACCGGCAAGCGGCCCAUGUUGGCGAAAGUUUGAAUGUGUUUUGCGCUGUUGAUGUUGGGCCUUGCCGUACAUAUAUUUAGUCAUGUACGUAUUGUUGUGUUAAGGAUUUUAGGACAUUUUUAACUGAGAUACCCUUGAAAAUUUUAUCACUCUUUUAAAGAAGGCAUAGGAAGGAGUAACUUCAACUGAAAAUUUAAUCGUAAAUUAUACAUUUGGGCUUCACAUUUAAAAAUUUUAGGUGAAAGUAUGUAGUUUAAUGCACAACGAUUAUUUGUUAAUGUAUCAAAUUGUAAACAGUUUUGAAGUUUCUCUGUUUACCUGUGGAGUGUAUGUUUAUUACCUCAUAUUGUAAGCAGCUUGAUUUGUUUGUGUCACUGUAAUUUGUAAGCCACAGUCUAAUUUAUUACAAUUAAUUCGUUGUUUUGGGGAAAUAAACCUUGAAUUGUAUGUCCCGUUUUCAUUAACCGAAUCCCAUCCAAAUCGUCCGCUCAAGCUGUGUUGUUUUUCUAGAAUAGACCCCAAACUUUCACUUUUAUUAAUUCAUGCAUUGUAGGUACGUGACAGCAGCAUUUCUAACGAUUUUUUUUACGAUCUGCACCUGAUAAUAGCUGCCUUACAGGGCCAGGGUCAUAUUUAUUUAGAAUGUCUGUUUGACACCCUGGGCUUCAGAAUACAGUUCAGCUGUUUUGUCCAUUUGUGCGCUAAGUGGUAAGCUAAGUUUGCGCACAUUAGUACACUCACUGUGCAAAUACAAAGGUCAGACAUAUGACAAGUUACUGAAGAUAGAGGUUUUUCCAAUUGUAAUCAGUUUCUAGAAGACAGCAAAUGCAUUUGCUCUUCAUUCGUAAUCAUCAGUCCGCUUCAGUUAGAACUUACAUACUGACAAACCAAGCCAUAGAAACUGUUAGAAUGGGAAUGUGCUCUAAACAAAAGACUUCUUCCCUCCAUGCUCAGCAUUGCUGUCACUCCUAUUGAUGUUAUUUAAAAUACGUGGAUUUGAAGCUUUUAUACUAAGAAAACAGCUUUAUAAACAGUACUUAGAAGAUGACCAAAAAUGCACUUGAUUCCCUUGUGCUGUGAACGCCACAUAUGUGGAUGACACAUUCGUCGUCAGGACAGAUGGAGAAAUCGAGCUUCGCCGUUUCCACCAGCAUUUAAACCAAUAACAAGACAAAAUACAGUUCACGGUGGAAAUCUAAAAGGAAGUAAUCUACUUGUACAUUUUCUCACUGUUAAGGUCUAUACGAAACAUAAAAGUAAGCUCAUACACAGAGUUCAUGUGGCGGAUAAGUAGUGGACAGGUACCUGAACACCAUAUCCUGCCGCCACUCAAAACAAAAUAUACCUUAAAUGUAUUCGGAAUUGUGAAUAUGGACAACCAUCAGCUGCGUAAUGGAAUGGCAGCAGUGAAAAUUUGUGCCGGACUGGGGCUCGCUUACCGCGGGCAGUCGCCUUACCAUUUGGCUAUCUGUGCAGGAGCCACAGCCUGACUCAAACUUUCGUAUGUUGUCAACCAUCCAUCUACAAUCUGUACUCGUACACUCAUUAUGUACAUUCCCGUACAGGCGAGAUAUUUUACUUGAAUGUCGCUUGUCGGUGUGGGCAGAUAAAUACGAUAUUGCAGUAUUGGCAGUUGGGAACUUGGGCAACCAUCAGUAUUUGCACAUGCAUGCAUAAUUCAGAAUAACACAGGCAUUGCAAUAUCGUAUCAGACAAAACAAAGAAAUUCCGCAGUUUAUACAACAAUCACAAGACCCCACUGAAUCAAUGGCGCUGAUAGCCUGGGGGGGGGGGGGGGGGGGUGAAGUAAGCAAGCUAUGAAACAUUUUCGGGAAAAUGACAGUAGUGAAUGUACCGUAAGGAAAGCUAUCACUCCAGGAGUGCACGAGCUUAGCUACGAUAAAGGACUGGCUUGUAUAAGUGAGAUGGAGUACUGCAUCAACACACAUCUUGCAGAGAGUAGGAGAUGCAUAUGGCUUGGUUGGCAUACUAAAACGCCUGUGGAAGAACAAGUGUGAUACGCCAAUACAAUCAAACAAGCUCUUGUUUUAAAUAUACCGCUGUCUAACACUAAGCGAGAAAUGAGUGAUGCUUUCAAGAUAGUUUAGGAGCCAUCCGAUAUGAACUGUGACAAGGUGUACACAUACUCGCUGUCUUGGCUGACAAUACUUACAAGCCAGUGAGCUGACUGUGCUAGCAGAAUCGCCCAGUUAACGUUACACUACAGGCAACUGCGAACACUGAAGAAUUGCAGGCACCACAGACCAUUACGUAAGAAGCACCACAUCACGACGGUAGCUUUCGCCCUAUUCGCCAAUGACAAUCAAUAAAAACUCACAUAAAAUUUCCCAGUAACAGCAGCUAAAACCCCUAGCCCUUGAUUCUGUCACCCAAUCAAAACAUAGUACGCCAUAUCUUCAAAUAAGAAAUGUGAAGCUGCAAGUAGACACUAUGAUGAAAGUUGCCUACAAUAGCAGCCAAUACAUCAGUGAUUUUACCACAUAUGACUCAGGCACACACGAAGGAAAUUUUGGUAAAGUGGGCUCUCAUAAUUAUAUUAUUACUCUGUAAAGAACCAUUUGAGACCCGUGUCCCCAAUACCAAAAUACUCAGAAAAUAUCCCUGAACAACCUCCUAUAUUUCAACGAUGGUUUAAGACUUAACUCUGUUUGUGUCCUUUCAAUUUCAAGUACAUCUGCUUGAAAUUACUCAGAACGUUUAUUGUUCAGCUGUACGAGUCCUAUAAUUAGUUGUGUGAACCUAAAUUGCAGAUACCUAUCUAUAUCAACUCUUGAACAUGGGACAUCCAUCAUUUACAUGAUGAAAUGCUUAUAUUGUAUGUUCAUACUGAAUAGGUGUCCUAUACUUUUAUUUAUCGAAUGUGUUUUACGUGUUUUCUAUCACAUUUUUAUUAUAUGUUAUGUUAUUUCAUUAAAAGAACAGAAUGUGACGUUGAUCACAGACUAAUUAUUUUGGAAGGUUAUGUUAUAUAACUGAAAUCAUGAUUGAGUAUUACAACAAAGUGAUAUUAAAAGGAGUCAUCCAUACUAGGUGUCUUCAAAGUUUAGUAUUGACCAUAAAAUAAAAACAGCCGUAACUGUAAAAAAUUUAUUUUAGAAUAACAUGAUUGAACGAAAUCAUACUUUCAGCAGUGACCUGCAAGUUUAAAUUCUCACAAAUGGCAUUCAUACAUCAGUAUUGUACACAACCAAUGUUAACUGACAGUAAUUUGGGUUCAGUGAAUUCGCUGACCAAUAAAUCCAGAUGAUGUAACUAUAAAAAUUCCUCGAUUUUUUGUUUUGUUUUUCAUAUCAAUCUUUGCAUUUUACAGUUGAAACAGUUGGAGUAUUUUUUGAAAUGUAAUGGCUGGAAGCGUAUCUAUGGGGAAUGGAUUUAUAAA